GAUGAACGCUGGCGGCGUGCCUAAUACAUGCAAGUCGAGCGAAUGGAUUAAGAGCUUGCUCUUAUGAAGUUAGCGGCGGACGGGUGAGUAACACGUGGGUAACCUGCCCAUAAGACUGGGAUAACUCCGGGAAACCGGGGCUAAUACCGGAUAACAUUUUGAACCGCAUGGUUCGAAAUUGAAAGGCGGCUUCGGCUGUCACUUAUGGAUGGACCCGGGUCGCAUUAGCUAGGUGGUGAGGUAACGGCACACCAAGGCAACGAUGCGUAGCCGACCUGGGAGGGUGAUCGGCCACACUGGGACUGAGACACGGCCCAGACUCCUACGGGAGGCAGCAGUAGGGAAUCUUCCGCAAUGGACGAAAGUCUGACGGAGCAACGCCGCGUGAGUGAUGAAGGCUUUCGGGUCGUAAAACUCUGUUGUUAGGGAAGAACAAGUGCUAGUUGAAUAAGCUGACACCUUGACGGUACCUAACCAGAAAGCCACGGCUAACUACGUGCCAGCCGCCGCGGUAA
rnacentral:rRNA from 1 species